rfam:Schistosoma curassoni strain Dakar, Senegal genome assembly, scaffold: SCTD_scaffold0009190
AUCUAGCUAACGCGUCCCAAAUAGAAUGAAACCCGCGUGCUGGAU